rnacentral:lncRNA from 1 species
GGGCUGUUACACACUAGCAGAUACUAGCAAUGCUCCUCAGUCUACACGGAGCCAGCUGCUGGCAUUUGGAUUGCAGAACCCACAUCUAGUAACAGACACAGCAGAAGCUAUCGUCCUCUUGCCUGCUGCAAAGGGGACUUUCGGUCUCUAAAAGCACAAGGCUGAUGCUGUCCCACAGCUCUGCUGCCACCUGAGCGUCUGGCUGAAAGCAAAGUCCCUGGUCCGGUUGUUGUCCUUCAUGCACGUCAGAAAGAUGCUCUGCUUUAAAGCUGUGCUGUCCUGGCAACGCUAAGGGAUCUUCCACUUCAGGAGUGCCACGGAGCUGCUUUGUCACAAACUGGUGGAUGGUGGUAUUAUUUCUGCAUUCCUUACAUUUCUUUCUUGAGACUGGGAACAUGGAUUCUCUUGGCAAAGAUUGUGUUCUGGGAGGAUUUGUUUCACGUUAUGGUACUUCUUUAAGGAAGGCGUAGAAGGAUUUGGAGUUGAUGCAUGCAUGGGAUUUGUAGGGAAGAAAUCAGCAACCUUAUGCCUUUGGACCCGUGAUUCCUUACCACCAGGAUCAGCCAGACGUUUCUUUCACAUAUUAAAGCAUACCCAGGGUUCCAGCAGCCUCCUGUUCUUCCCUCAAGCUCAAACCUCGUUGCUGCUCCCUGUGUGCCGUUGGAAAUGGGCAGGCACCAUUUGUGGCUGCCUGAAUAUCCUGAGUCACAGAUUACCAGCUGGCAUCCGUGCUGCAGUUUCAUUUCUUCCUUUACGACUGCACUCCCUAGAGGAGGCUUGA